rnacentral:rRNA from 1 species
AACGAACGCUGGCGGCAUGCCUAACACAUGCAAGUCGAACGAGACCUUCGGGUCUAGUGGCGCACGGGUGCGUAACGCGUGGGAAUCUGCCCUUGGGUUCGGAAUAACAGUUGGAAACGACUGCUAAUACCGGAUGAUGACGUAAGUCCAAAGAUUUAUCGCCCAAGGAUGAGCCCGCGUAGGAUUAGCUAGUUGGUGAGGUAAAGGCUCACCAAGGCGACGAUCCUUAGCUGGUCUGAGAGGAUGAUCAGCCACACUGGGACUGAGACACGGCCCAGACUCUUACGGGAGGCAGCAGUGGGGAAUAUUGGAACAUGGGCGAAGGCCUGAUCCAGCAAUGCCGCGUGAGUGAUGAAGGCCUUAGGGUUGUAAAGCUCUUUUAACCAGGAUGAUAAUGACAGUACCGGGAGAAUAAGCUCCGGCUAACUACGUG